UAGUAGUUUUGCGCUAAACCCAGUCCCUGCCCAUUUCGCCCUCCCCGGCCGUCCCCGUCGAUAUCACCCGAGCCCUAACUCCCGACUCCUUCCUCGCCGCGCCGCCAUGGCGCCCCCUCGGCCCGCUUCACCACAGAGCUUGCCGCCCGUGGCUGCCACCCGAUCCCGCGGUCGCCCGUACGAGGGCUGGACUCUCAAGGAGCUGAUUGGGGAGGUGCGCCGUCUACGACGAGCCGCCUCCUCGGCGCCGCCCCGGCCGGCGGGCGUCCUCGACCUCGACCAGGGGGACGCGCGCGCCUCGGACACGGUCGCCCCCUCGCCGCCCUCACCGUGUGAAUCCCAGGAGCAACCCCACCAUCUUGGCAAGAGGCUGGAGGAUGUGCUUAUUUCCCUACGGGAUGUCGCCUUCCAGUUCAUCAAGAUCGGUCGACAAGACGAGGUGCGUAAAAUCGUGAAUGUAGCACACGAUAUUGUGGUUAACUUCUGCAAUGCCAUUAGAGCGCCCGAAGCGUUCAAAUUAGUGGCUGCUGCUGAGAAUGUGAAACCACAUCUGUUGAAGAUAGAUCAUGAUGACAACCUUCUGUUUCUACAAUUUAAGGCUGCACUGGAGAGGGAACAGCAGGUUCACAAUGUUAACCAUGAGAUUGCUAUAUCUCUUGACAAGUACACCAAUUGCCCACUGUCCGGGACGGAGAUUGCAGAGUUAACUCAGCCAUUGAGAAGCACAUCAUGAACUACAUGGGUUCCUCUCUCAAGGGGUGCCCGGUCAUUGGUUAGUAUAAGUGUUCAUUUGUGAGGAUAAUUUUUCAAAUGUGCCAUCACAAGUAUACAACUGGAUUUGCACAAUGUUACUUGAAAUGCCAUUGACUUCAUCAGGGAAUACUAUUCUGAAAUGGUUAAUAGGAACCUUGCAUGUAAAAACUUCUCCAUCCAUUUGUUAGCACUUAGCAUAAGUCUACAUUAUUAGGAAGUAUGAUUUCACAAUGUAAGUCAACAAAAGAAUUCAAGAACAUCAUCGAUUUAUCAUUGCAAUAUUUCUAUAUUCUAUCUCUGAUUUAAUAAUGUAAAAGAGGUUUGAUAUUUCUAUUAUACUAUAAUGGGGGUAUAUGGCCCAAUGCUAUUAGCUUUGUAUUGGACUUUUAGGUCUUUCAAUGUUGGGGGGAUGGGAGCUACUGUAAUAUUUAUCGUGAAACAAGGAGGGAGGGGGUAGUAUAAUGCCGCCAUUAUUUAUAUGAAAAAAAAGAAGAAGAGAGAACUUGGUAUGUAUACCAUUCCAUUGCUUUGCUUUAUUUGGUAUACAACAAAAACAACAGCUAUGUGAUGGUGGGAAGUGUCUAGCACUGUAGUGGGUCUUUUUAUCUGGUUUGUUCAACAAUGUGCUGCAUGGUUGUGGCAAGUCCAACAAGUGGCAUGUUGUGUGGGUGAGAUCCAUGGGUGAUGGUGUGAGAGUGGUGGCAAGGUUGUUGCAAGCUAUGUGCUACCUGAUUCCAUGGUGGUGACCUGGUGGGGCAUAUGACCGACAUGUCCCUUAUGGAUAAGGUAAACAGCGGUAGUCUGACUAGUAUGACUGGCAGUUCCUGUGGUUAAUGGCUGAGUAUCCAUAGGGUAUAAGACGUGUGUAAUUCUUUUCAAGAAGUGACUAGCAAAGCCAUUUUGGUUAAUUUUGUGAGUGCAACCAGUGGUGCUGAGAGGGAGGGAUAAAUAACGCUGAUAGUCCUUGACAUAUUUUUUUAUUAAAAAAAUAUUCUAGUAAGGCCAUUUUGAGAAAUCUUGUGCAAAAUCAGUUGCAUAGUUGCAUUUAGCCGAUUUCUGAUGUUAUUUUGUAGUUAAGAAAUUUAAAUGAUGGCAUUUGAAAAUCUCUCUUUUUUUAAAAAAUAAUGUUUUGUGUUGAGGUUGUAUGAGGUUCUAAGUCUUCUUUAGGUUGUCCUGGUGCUGUGUCAAACGACCUGGUAUUUGAGGAUGCAGAGCUUAGGCACGACAUAAAGUACUGCCACUGACAGAGAGAAUGUGCAAGAGGUUUGGUUUGGUUACAGGUCGAACAGGCUUCAAUUCUGCAACGCGAGGCAAACGUCUGCUGUGUUUUGUUUCUCUGGGCACCUGUCAUUUACCUUUGGCUUAAACAAGGCAUUCAGCGGUUGAUCGCUGUGCCAUGCCCUUGUACAUAGAAACAAAUAUUAUUCUGUACAUGGAAUGGAAGAGUUCCAACACCUGCAAAUGAAUGAGCACUGUCAGCGUUGGGCAAGUGGUUCCGAUUUCGGCUGGUGUGGAUUUUAAUCCGGGAUUGAAGAUGCGUGCAUCGGCAGAUAUCAUAUGCCGGUCAUGCUGUUGUUGCCGUAACAAUUUUUUGUUUCUAAUUGUUGCUACUUGCUACUCCCUCGGUUCCAUAAGGUUCCAUAAUAAGUUCAUUUUUUUA